rnacentral:rRNA from 1 species
CGGCGGACGGGUGAGUAACGCGUGGGUAACCUGCCUCAUACAGGGGGAUAACAGUUAGAAAUGACUGCUAAUACCGCAUAAGACCACGGUACCGCAUGGUACAGUGGUAAAAACUCCGGUGGUAUGAGAUGGACCCGCGUCUGAUUAGCUAGUUGGUGGGGUAACGGCCCACCAAGGCGACGAUCAGUAGCCGACCUGAGAGGGUGACCGGCCACAUUGGGACUGAGACACGGCCCAA